CCUACGGGAGGCAGCAGUGGGGAAUAUUGGGCAAUGGGCGCAAGCCUGACCCAGCAACGCCGCGUGAAGGAAGAAGGCUUUCGGGUUGUAAACUUCUUUUCUCAGGGACGAAGCAAGUGACGGUACCUGAGGAAUAAGCCACGGCUAACUACGUGACAGCAGCCGCGGGAAUACGUAGGUGGCAAGCGUUAUCCGGAUUUACUGGGUGUAAAGGGCGUGUAGGCGGGAAAGCAAGUCAGAUGUGAAAACCAUGGGCUCAACCUGUGGCCUGCAUUUGAAACUGGUUUUCUUGAGUACUGGAGAGGCAGACGGAAGUCCUAGUGUAGCGGUGAAAUGCGUAGAUAUUAGGAGGAACACAAGUGGCGAAGGCGGUCUGCUGGACAGCAACUGACGCUGAGGCGCGAAAGCGUGGGGAGCAAACAGGAUUAGAUACCCGGGUAGUC
rnacentral:rRNA from 1 species